rnacentral:rRNA from 1 species
GACAGAGGGUGCAAACGUUGUUCGGAAUUACUGGGCGUAAAGCGCGUGUAGGCUGCUCUGCAAGUCGGGUGUGAAAGCCCUGGGCUCAACCUAGGAAGUGCACUCGAAACUGCGGAGCUUGAGUCCUGGAGAGGAAGGCGGAAUUCUCGGUGUAGAGGUGAAAUUCGUAGAUAUCGAGAGGAACACCGGUGGCGAAGGCGGCCUUCUGGACAGUGACUGACGCUGAGACGCGAAAGCGUGGGGAGCAAACAGG